rnacentral:lncRNA from 1 species
CCUCGCUUACGUCACAAAGAUGACAUCAUGAUAGAUCGACGUAUAUAAUCGAAGGCUCAUUUCGUUUCUUUUCACCAUAUUCCAAGAAACGAGGGUACUAUCUAAAUACCGUUAAAGCUGCACCUACCCGAUUUUGCUAUUUGAUCGAGACAAGGGAACCACAUCGGGGGUAGCCUUGUAAUGAAUCAGACCUAAGCUCGAAGAUGAGGCAUCGAGUCCAAAGAUCAAAGUGCCUGCCAAGAUCUAGACCAAUAGCGAC